GUUGGCAGAAGCAUUAUAAAUAAACAAUUAUGAGGCUAUGCAUACAACAAGGGCGAACUAGAAAAUCCCUGUUUCGAGAAAAACACAAUUUUAAAGUUGUUGAGUAAGGAUGAACUCGGCAAAUUUGAUUUAGUUCAAUAAUUGAAGAAAAUAAUUAUUGAAUCAGUCAUUUUGAAAAGGAGUCAUCUCCACUUUUUUUAAAUUUCACAGGAGAGAUUUUAGAUGACCUAGAAACCGUUUUUUUGGGAAAAGAGAUGACCCGUUUUCAAAAUAAACAGAUAUUAAAAGAAAAAAAAUGGGCAUUGUAAGUAAAUAUUGUUUAUUACACACAUUAAAAUGCUAAAUACAAGCUGAUGAAUAUUUUAAAAUUGUUUUUAAAUUUUAAAUGACCUAGAAACCACAUUCUUUUUUAAAAAGAGAUGAACCGUUUUCAAAAUGAACAGUUCACGUUGUAGAAUGGGUAUCUCUAGGAGAUGGCCUCUUUUCAAACUGAACUGGUUUGUGAGGUAUGCUGUGCUUACAGUAAUAAUAUUGAAAGUUGACCCGUUUUCAUAUGGAAUAGACGUGUCUAUGUGUAUAAUACAAAUUCGACAGGAAGUGAAAAUGUCAAAAAAGUUUAGAUGACCCCUUUUCAUAAUGACCGAUUCAAUUAUAAUAAUGAAUUAAUGAACCACUCUGUCAUAUGAAGGAACAAACAUAAAAAAAUGG
rnacentral:lncRNA from 1 species